AAGGUGAGAACUUUUAAAAGAAAAAAUAAAAUUAAAAAUUAAAAUAUUAUGUAACGACCCAGCCCACUAGCAAUAAUAACUCGUUGGGAUGACUCGCUAAGCUCAUCCACCUUAAGCCCAGUUAUUACCGGCUGGUGCUUGUCUCUAAUACCAAAUAUAACGACCCAGCCAACUAGCAACAAUAAGUCGUUGGGCCCAACCAUCGAUCCAAAAUGUUUAAGUCCAGUUAUUAUUACUAGUGUCUAAGUCUCUUAUAUACCCAAUCACAUUCUCAUUCCUAUCCAAUGUGGGAUUAUUGAGAUGUAACACAUCAUAACAUAAAAAGUUGGGAAGUCUAAUAAGACUAAUUUAGUGUACAUUCAGAGUCUCUAUUUGUUCAUGAGUUCAUUAUGUUUGAUGAAAAAGUAUGAUAAAAAUAAAACAUUCCAUCUACUUCAAUAUAUGAUAAUAUAUCAUACUUGUUUAGUUAAGAUAAACUUUAUUACAGCUCCACCGAAAAAAUAAAGGAUAUAUAUUUCUAUAUAUUUUUAUCUUUAUUUCAAUUUUACCCAAUAGUCUGAAGACUAAAGUGGGCUCCAAAAGUUGCGUGAAUGUGAUUCGAGUGAAUUAUAAGUUUUGCAUGGGUUGAAUGUAUAUUAGCUUUUUUACCUACAUGAGUUAAAGUUGUACUAUAGUGUUUGAACUACAAUUUGUUACAUUUUAGUUCUCAAAUAAUGAGACGAUUAAUUUGCAAAUUCUCAAAAAUAUGUUUGAAAAAUAAUAAUUAAUUUUUGUAUCAGGCAAUAUCGUGUAAUAACCAACUUGUUCAUAUUGCAUGCCAGAAAAUGGAACUGGAAUUAAUAGAUUAUUUUCAACCGAACGAAUCAAAUUUAUCGAAUCUAAAUUAAAUUCAAGUAUGAAAUCGUCCUUGCGUAAACAGUUCAGAAAUUGACAUUUCACCAAGGAGGGGCGCUGCAAUCGAGGGGCUUUGUACCAAUGUGUUGUAGCUUCAAUUUAUUGCGCUAUGAUAGGUGAUAGAUAGAUGGAUGAUGGAUGCCACAGUAUAUAUAUAUAUAUAGGCUUAAUUUAUAGAUGUUACACAUGCAUGCACGCACACACACGUACAGUACUCUAUAUAAUUUCUCCAGGAACAGCGAUGUAGCCACACCAUGUGGGUUUCGUACCUACAAAGCAAAGGUGAGUGAAGUGCACGAGCAAUCUGAAACUAUAAAGAGUGACUGCAAGAGAAAGAGAGAGAGAGAGAGAGAGAGAAAAGAGAAAGAAAAAGUAGAUCUCUAAUAAUUGGGUGAAAGUCAUGCAUGUGACAAUAUCAUCAUAUCCCCCACACAUGCAUUGCGCACUGGAUACGCGGCGGGGCAACUUCUUUUCGUUAAUAGUAAUAUUACAAGGAUCGUAACACAAUCAUUUAGCUAACUAGUAAUUAAAGAGAUCACGUACGCCUCAAUGCAAAGAGGCAUAUAAUUGGUGAAAUUUUGUGCCUAGAUUUUUCUCUUUUUUUUUUUCUUUUUUUUAAAGCUCUACAUAGUUACUCUGACGUCAUUCAUCAGUUGCAAGUUAAUAUGCAUAUCAUUUUUACUUUCAAACCAAAAAAAUACUAUUUUAAUUUUUAUUUAUAUUCAACAUUAUUUAUCACGUCUGAACUUAAAAAUCAUGAUCAGUUUAAAAAAUGAAUCUGACUUAAACUAUUAAAAAUUAAGUACAACUACGAGUACGACAUAAUUCAAAUUAAAAUCUUCUAUAAUUCUGAUUCUGCUGCAUGAAAAUAUUUAAUUACUUCAAAUAUUUAGAUAAACAAAAAAUAAUAUAUAUAUAUAUAUAUAUAUAUAUAUAUAUAUAUAUAUAUAUUAACAUCAUUAGAUUGAAUAUAAAUUAUUUAAAAUAUUUUAUAAAAAUUUGUAAGUAAUUAAUUUAUUUCUUACUACUUUCCUAUAUAUUGAUUAACAGGUACGGAGACAAUAACAAGUGAAACUAACAAGAGUAGAUCUCCGGUGAUCGGUGGAGAUCGAUCAUGUGGAAAUUGGAAGCACAAAAUUAAUCCUCUUGAAAAGUCGGCAGCGACAUCCUGGUUUCACGUGGACAUGUCUUUUGAAUUUAGGGUCGAGGCUUAUUAUAUAUUCCUUUUAAUACAGUCAAAAAAAAGGGUUAGAAAAUUUUUUUUUUUAAAAUGUGAUGUUAAUGGCAUUAAAGAAUACAUGUACUGUCGAUCGAGAUACACUCCAACAUUGUUGAGCUGUAGUGAGUUGUAUAUUCCUAGCACCCCCUUUUAUGGAAGUACCAUGCAUUUAUCUCCAACAUGUAAAAGAUGAUUUUAUCGUAGGGCAAUUGCUUAUAUACCCAUAACAAAAUUUUAAUUUUCAUAUUUAUUCCUCUUAUAAGACUAAUAUUUUAAAAAAUACCCUUUUUAUUAAGGUUCUAGAGUUAAAUUUUAUUAGUGAACUGUUAGUAACAGUUAUUAUUAUUUCUAUAAAAUUACUAUUUUGCCUUUUCAAAUAUAUAUUUUUGUCAUCACCAAGCAAAAGAAGUAUUUUGACUUUUUGCACUUUCAAAUAUUCCCUUCUACUGUCACCAAUUUUUUUAGGGUUAAUUUCAUUUGUAUCUUUCACAAAACUAUGAAAUAUCAUAAAUACUCUUUAAAUUUUUAAAAUUUCAUAAAUACCCUUUAAAUACAAUAUUUUUUUCAUAAAUGGCCUUACCGGUACUUUCUUGCCAAUUUUUGUUAACUCGGCAUUUUUUUACUUUACUUUAAAAUAUGAAAUUAUCAUUUUACCCUUUGUUCACUAUUUCUUUAGAGGGACAAUUUCAUUCAUACUCUUGAAAAAUUCAAGAUUAUAAUAAAGGUCCCUACACAAUUUGAAAUAUCAAAAUUAACCCUAUGAAUAUUUACUGUGUUUUAAAAAAAACUUCAAGAUAUACUAUCAUUAGUUGGGGUCAUUUUAAUCUUAAUUACAUUAUAGUAUAAUGAAGGUUAAGAAUAAAAUUGUCUAUUUUAUUCCUAAAUAUUGAAAAUUGGUGAGGGGUAUAUAAAUGUAUGCUAGCCAAUUUCUUUUUUAAAAUUUUUAUCCAUUCAAAUUCUGUUUAUUUUGAUUUCAAAUAUUUUAAUCAAUUAAAUAUAGAUAUUCAAUUAAUCAGUUAAUUAGCUAUUAAAUGAAUUUUUCUAUUUUCAAAUGAAAAUUAGUUGAAGGCUUUAAAUUUGAUGGAAUAAUUAUCUUACUUUGUGAAAUUUUAUUAAUUAAAAUUUCGUGUUUUCAAUUUAUUAUUUCAAACUAUUAUUGGUUCACGUAAUGUCCAUUGAUUAUAAAAAUUUAAUCGGUCUUUUCGUAAUAAAACUAAUUUUUUAUCUGAGGUCGAAUUUUAUACUAAUGUGUUGCUCUGAGUUAUAAUGUGUAUUCACAACCACAAAUUUUCUCUACUUUAAGUAGUCAAAUUAAACUUUUUUUAUUACUUUACAAUUGAUAUAGUAAAAGAAAAGAUAACUAAAAUGAAUUAUCUUCUCAUUUUGACAAUGGAGCAAAAUAAAAUUUAAUUUAACUACAAUUUAUUUGAAAUAUAAAUAUUUAUUUCUAAUUGAAAUGAAUAAUAUUUUUAAACUAAAAUCGAAUUUUACUAAAUCUUUAGUCUAGAUAGAGUUUAGUUAAUUUUCAAAUAUAACAGGGGAUAUUAAUAAAAUAAAAUCAGUAAUUGAUCAUUAAAUAUAAAGAGGGGUAAAGUUGGAAUUUAAUAUUAUUAACUUCAAUUUGGAUGGGCACUUAAAUUUUUGAAAGUUUUCUAAAUUUAGGAGGGUAUAAAUGAUAUUUCAAUUUUUAGAUGGAUAUUUAUGAAAUCAGAUAGUUUUAGAAGGGUAUUGAGGAAAUUUUUCCAUUUUUUUUUAUUUACCCUUAAAUUAGAGACAAAAAUUAGGGACAAAAUAGGUAUUUCAACUAUUUUUUAAACUAUGAUUAAAAUUUAACUCAGAUUUAAUCGGAGACAACAUAACGAGCACUAACAUAGGGUAUUUUUGGAUAUUGGAGAAAUAUAUACAUGAGGGGUAUAUUUGAAACAAAAAAGAAAGGAAAAUAAAAUAUUUCGGAGAUUUUGAGAGGUAUAUAGACAAUUAUCCUUAUUAUUUAAUAAUUUAUAAAUAAAAAAAGUGAUAAAUGAUGAUAUGAAUGAGCGAAGCAAUCACAAAGUGUAAUACAGAAGAAUGAAGCAAUAAAUGGCUGAGAUCUAAUUUUCAAUGUUUAAUUUGUUAGUGCGCUCUUAAUCUAAACUAAACAUAAUGUCAAAGAUGAUAAUGGACUACACAAUUAAUUAAACUCAACAUAAUAUCGAAGAUGAUAAUGGACUACACAAUUAAAUCCAUCACUACAGCAGAAUUAGGUUAUAGGGACACAUGUUUGGGACACUUUUGUUUAAGUGUCCCAUUUAUAUCAAAAUUUUAAAAAAUAUUUACUAAUGUCUAAAUAUAAAGCCGAAUCCAACAAAAAAUAAAAGGUUACUAUACUCAACCCAUCCAACCCAUCCCAUUUGGCUCAAUUCCAAAUAGAAAAGAAAAAAAAAAAAAAUUAAUUAUCAUCUUCCCUUCUCCCCUCAUUCAAUCCACUGAAAUCUUAGACGAAGGGCCCUUCCCUCUCGUCCUCCUCCGCGACCGCAGCAAACGAGGUAGAGUUCUGGCGGUUGCUAGAUGCUUAAAUAAGUGUUGCUAAAUUAGCAGCACUAUUUUAGGUUAUAGCGACAUUCUUUAACUGUCACUAUAUACCUAGCGACCCCACAUAUAGCAACACUUUUUAAAAGUGUUUGUAAUUUAGCAAGCAGCACUUUUUUUGACUUAUACCGACAUUUAAAAGUGUCGCUAUAGACCAUUUUUGUUAUAGUGCAUGGUUCGAAAACAAAUCUAACCAUCUAAAUAAAAGAUGAAAUAAUUUUCUUUUGUACAAACCUUAGCUUUGAAUUCAAAUGUUGCAUCCAGCUAGGAUAUAUAACAGCGCCCAACAGCUAAGAUAUUUAAUUACUAUAUAUGUGAGUAUUCUCUCAAAACAAUCAUUAUUUUUACACAUAUUCUGCCAAAAUUUCUAUGCAAAAAAAGGAAACAUAUGUCUAUAUAAAUAAAAUAGAUAUUUCAAAAACGUAUUAUAUAAUACUAUUACGAUAUACAAGAGCAAAAACCAAGUUGCAUAUUAUUAUAUAUUAUUGGCAUAAUUUGGCAUAUUUUGAGGGGUAUAUGAAUAAAACAAAAACACCUAGACGCUAUUACUAAUGAGCUGCAACCCUAAAUUAAUAUUCCUAGGACAACCAUGCAUAUUCAAACCUCCGAAAUUGUACAUUAAUUUGUACCUCAUUGUCACCCAAAUAUAUAGUUGUCACAUACAUAUAUAUGUGGAAUUUUUUCUCUUCUUAAUUUCACACAUGCAAAUAGGCCUUUGGGAUUGGGAACUUUGAGAACCUUCCUUUUUUUCUCCUCUGCUUAAUUCUCUCCUUUAAUUUUUUCUCCACCGUCCUAAUAAGUAAAGAAAGAUUCGGCAGGUGAAUGAUUGGGUAUUAUAGGUAGAUAUAUGCACCAUGUUUACGUACUGGUUGAAAUAUGAAAGUGUACAAAAUUGCACCAAUAGUCCUAAACUUUAUGCAAAAUUUAUUUUGGUCCACAAACUUGUAAGUUUGAUAUUAAGAAUUCUAAAUUAUUAUUAAGUAUUUCACUCCAAUCCCUCUUAUUAUUUACUAUCAAGGCACAAAUUAUUUCCUACAGCCAAUACACUUGUAUAUUAAUUCAGGUACCAUAUAUAUAUAUAUAUAUAUAUAGAGAGAGAGAGAGAGAGAGAGAGAGAGAGAGAAGAGAGUUCGGCUACAGUACCAAGCGUUUGGAGCCAUCGAAUUUUUCGCCAUUAGAUCUAUUUAUUAUUUACUAUUCAACCAACCACCCACUCCACCCUAAGGGACCAUUAUUAUCCUAACCGCAUAUCUCUUCAUCCAAACAUCGAAAAUCUAAUAACACCAAGCGCCCCAAGUGGUUUGUACUAUUAAUAGUAUAGUAGCAUAAUUAUAUAUAUAUUCUUUAAUUUCAUCUUAUAUUUCAAUCUUAAGAUGUAUUAAAUUGCAGUCUUCUUUUCAAUAUAUUUAGAAAUUGAAAUCCUUCAAAUCAAUUAUCUGGAAGGUGAUGUGAAUUAAAAUUCAUUAGAUUAUGUAUUUAGGAACGUUCAUGGAUAUGACAUGAGUUGAUUUGUCAUGACACGAUACGAUUUUAGUGAAUGUAGGGCAUCGAAUGAUUUGAGUUUAGAUUUGCCAUAUAUAUAUAUAUAUAUAUAUAUAUAUAGAACUAGGCUAUUAUGCUAUUAAUAGCACGAAGUCAUUGGUGCUACUAAGUUUUUGGCCAUUAGAUUAAGAGAUGUGCGGUUAGGAUGAUAUGAACCCCCUAGGGUUGAGUGGGUGGUUGGUAAUUGAUAGUAUGAUCUAACGGAUGAAAAUGAUCAAAAUGGUAGAUCUAACGGCGGAAAACUUGGUAGCACCAAGUGCUUCGUGCUAUUAAUAGCAUAGUAGCCGGACUCUAUAAAUAGGAUUGGGACCAUUGUCCUAUCAAGUUGUUUUGCAUGAUCGGAACUUCAAAUUGAUAAUCGGCACCGUUGAAAUUGAUCUACACAAUUAGAAAUGUUUAGAAACUAAAUUUUGUAAUAUUUAAAAAUCAUUAUCAAGUUCAUCUUAAGAGUUCAAAAAUAAACGGUCAUAAAUGAAUAUUCUUCUUAAAAUAGAGGUUAGACUUUCUCAAUUUAUAAUCAGAGCUAUCAAACAUUAUCUAAAUAGUAUAAAGAAUUUUCUAUCAAAAAUUCAAGCAAUUUGGAUUGCUCUACACCAUUAAACAAGCAAACGGCUCAUUUAGGCCGUCAAAAAUUAUCGAUUUUACGACACUUUGAUCACCAUGUAAAUAAUUUUUAAAAAUUCUAAAAUUUAGUUUCUAUAUAUUUCAAAUACUCUAGAUCAAUUUCAACGGCUCCGAUCAUCGAUUUGAAAUCUCUAUCAUCAAGAACAAUUUGAUAGGAAAAGUGCUCCAAUCCUAUUAAUAGGAUAGUAGCUCUAGCAUAUAUAUAUAGUACAGCUGGAAUACUAUCGAUAGCACCAAGGGCUUGGUACUAUUAAGUUUUCCACCGUUAGAUUUAACCCUUUGAUUAUUUUUAUCCAUUAGAUUAUACUAUUUAACCAACCACCCAAUCAACCCUAAAAGGCCCAUAUCAUCCUAAACGCACAUUUCUCAAUUUAAAGGCUAAAAACCUAAUAGCACUAAGCCCUUGGUGCUAUCGAUAGUACUCCAGCCUAGUUCUCUCUCUCUCUCUCUCUCUAUAUAUAUAUAUAUAUCAUAUUAUAAUAUAAUAUAUAUCAAUAAUAUAUUAAUAGAGUCUGACUGGGCUACUAUUACCAGCAAAAUCUAUUGUUGCUAACCAGUUUUAGGCACUUUGGAUCAACACUUUUCAAUUAUUCUAACUCAUGGACUUAAUACUAAUAACCGCAGUGGGACCACUCAACCCAGGGACCAUUCAACCUCUAACACCGACUAAUAUCACUCCGACCCUACAGAUUUCAUCCAAGGGUUCAAAAACUUGAUAGCAAAAAAGACAUUUACUAUUAAUCAGAUCCAGUCUAAUUCUAUAUAUAUACAACUAGGUCGUAUAAUAUAUCAAAUAGCACCAGUUAUUGGGCUAUUAGCAUUACCCUUGAUUGAAGAAACUUGCGGUUAGAUGAUUCGGCCCCUAGUGAUGGUGUACUUGUGAAUAAUAUCAAUCUAACGGUAAAAAAUUAAUACAGAGGGUAAAAUCUAAAAGUGAAAACUCGACAGCACCAAUAUCCUGGUGCUAUCGAUAGACCCCAGCCGAACUAUAUAAUAUAUAUAUUAAAAUAUAUAAUAUAUAUAUAUAUUAUAUAUAUAUAUAGCGCGGUCUUGUGGUUAUAGAGCAUAAGCCUCCGUGCUUCUAAUCAUUUUCAGAUGACUGAGCUUCUUAAUCGAUGCGAUCGUUCCCGUAGACUUGAUUCUAACAUAUUUGACAGUAUUUAUGAAAUAAAUUUUUGUUAUUUCGAUAUCAUUUACCUAACUAUCAAAUGAGCUCAAAAUCACGCUGAAAAUAAAAAUAUACAAAAAUGGUAAUAGUAGCAUUAAAAUUUCGCAAUCUAACCACUAUUGAUGCUGCUUGAAAUAGUAAUAAAAAAUUCUAAUCAAAAAUUCAAUAAACUGAUUUGACAUACUUCUACAUACGUUAAACUUGCAAACGCAUACAUCAUAACCAUUAAAAUUGUUGAUUUUGAACCCCUUUCAAUUGCUAGAAAAGAUACCGAAUCACAAAAAAUUAAUUCUAGAUAGUCAAUAUACCGAUACAUCAAGUCUAACGAGCCCAUCGCAUUCGAAACUCUAAAUCAUCCGAAAAUGACUUAGGAGCACGAGCCUCCAAGCUUUAAUAGCACACGAGACCUACAUAUAAUUUAAUAUAGAAUGAGAGAGAAGAAGAGUAGGGCUACUAUAUCUCUUAUGAGUAUGGCCCUUUGCUAGUACCUCAUCAAUUGUUUUCCGACUGAUAGGACUCCAGAAUCGACGAGUUCACUCCGUUAAAUAUGACUAAGUAUUGAAAAUAAUUCUAAAAAAAUAAAAUUUUGUAACUUCAGAAAAGUCAUAAUAACAGUCAUUCAAAGCAGGCAUAAAAUACGGUCUAAAAUCGAACGAUACCCCUAAAAUAAAUGAUCAAAUCCUUACAAUUUAAGAUCGGAGUUAUGAUCUUUAUCAUAAGGUAGUGAAUAGAACUUUUCUAAUCAAAAAAAAUUCAACCGUAAUUCCGAUUCUUUCUAACCCGUUAAACUAAGCAAGUAUCCUCAUACCCACCUGUUUAAAAAUGCCCAACUCUUUGUACUUUUGAUCGUAAGUAAAUGAGUCAAAAAAUAUGAAAAUUUGAUUUCUAGAAUUUAAAUGCUUCAAAUAAACGUUAACGUGUGAUCAUCGAUUCGGCAAGCUCUAUCAUCGAAAACAACUUCUGAGUAAGAGGGCGCGAGUCGUAUUCUUUUCUCUACCUCCAUAAGAGUAUAGUAGUCGACUCAGGAGCAGAAGUAUAUAAUAUAUAAUAAUAUAUAAAUAUAUAAUAUAUAUAAUAUACAAGAGAGAAGAGAGAGAGACAGAGAGAGAGAGAGUCCGACUACUAUAUUUUAUCGAGUAUAUGCUACUCUUUUAUACUCAUAAUUUUUAACCAUCUGAGCUGAAGAUAUCUAACGGUUAGGAUGAUAGUAUCCCACUAGGUGAAUAUAUACUAGUAUACAUAGAAUAUAUAAUAUAUAUAUAUAUAUAUAUAUAAUAUAUAAUAUAUUAUAUAAUAUAUAAUACUAUAUAAUAUUAGUGUAGAGAAGAGAGAGAGAGAGAGAGAGAGAGUAGGCUAUCUAUACUCUUCUCAUGAUUAUGGCCCCUUUUAUAUUAUGUUUUCGACCGUGAAUAAGAGAUGUCGUUAAAGAUGAUACGGUCCCGUACGAUAAUAGUGGUACUCCUACAAUUGAGUGAUGGUGGCUUUGAAAGAUAAUUAACGAGGAAAUGAAAUGAUCAAGGGGCAAUCUAAAGGUCGAUAAAUUAUGCUAGAAAGUUCUACACUCAUAAGAUAAGUAGCGCCGACUACUAUAUAUACGCAUAUAUUAUAUAAUAUAUAUAUAUAUAUAACAUUAAUAUAAACUAUAUAAAUAUACUAUAAUAUAUAUAUAUAUAUCAAUAAUAGAAAUUACGUUGACGAAUUACUUUAUAAAUAGGAUUCAGCCCAAUUCCAUUCAUGCCAAUAAAAGAAUUCCAACACUAGAUCUUCUAAGUUACACCUGAACUCACGGAGUCACGGACCCAAAUUAGUACAAUUUGGUCGCAUUUUAAACGAAGACAGCGAAUAAGUAAAAUAAGAUGAAAUAUAGAUGUGCAGAAUUAGGUAUGCAGUCCAUAUAAUUUUAACUCUAAAAGAUAAGACAAACCACACCAAUUAAGCCUAACAUUCAAGUUCACGAGUCUUAAAAUAAUCAAAUAUCAAACUUUAAAAAGAGUAAGGAUCCAAAAUAAUAAAGUUGGCUAAAAGUUGAGGUACACAAUUUAAAUAAACCAAUCAAUAUCAAUAUGAAAAUGCUAGAGGCCACAUUUAUAAUAUAUAUAUCUAGACUACUCCACGUUGAUUAAAGUGACUGAGAGAAAAGCAAAAGCGCGACAUUCCACGUGGUUAAUAUACACUGUCUAUUGUCUCCCACAUGCAUUAACUAUACAACUUUUCCCUUCCACUUCGGCACCCAAAAAAAAAAAAAAAAAAAAAAAAGCCAUUAGAAUAAAACUGUGAAAAAAAUUAUUAAAGAUUCUGAGUUUUAAACUAAUAUUAAAAAAUUACAAUUUUUCCGAAGAGUAAAUAACUAAAUAAAAUUAUAAAUAAAUCUGCCGUCAUUUGAAUAUAAUCUCAUCAUUAAAUUAAAUUACAUAAAAUAAUUAAACAUCUUGUCUAUUACCUCUGUAACAAUAUCUAACUUACUCUUUAACUAUCUUACACCAUUAAAUCUAAAGAAAUUAUAAAAAUUCAUCGAUUUUAAGUACAAUAAUAACAAUAAAAUAAUAGAGUUAAUUUUAAUUAAUACAUAAUAAAAUACGUAAAAUUUAACAUUCACACCUAUGAUUUUGCUGCCAAGUGUUGUUUUAUCAUUAAUGGCAUAAAGCUGUAAACUUUUAAAAGCUAUAUCAAGCAUCAUUAAAUUACCACUAAAUUAUAUUGUGUCCAUAUUAUGUUCUUAAUUAGUUAAACCGCCAAUUGUGGCGCGGUUUUAAGCUGGCCUAAUAAUUAGCGCUUCCGCUAAUUAUGCUCACAUUUUGGCGCUUAAUUGGUCAGUCUUUUAUCUGCUUUGCUAUCAUAUAAUAAAACAAUCUAAGGAGAAAAUUUAAAUAAACUUUUGAUUUAUUUUCUUAUUUCCUAACACUCACGACUUUCACAGAUGAUUUUUUAGUUUCUAUUUAUAAAAAGUAAUAAUUCAACUAUAAAGGAUGUUAUUAAAACGAGCUUUAUAACUAAUUCAAUUUUUACCGAGACCUAACACAACUCCGAUACUAAAUAUGGAGCCUAAAAUUAACGUGAACACAUUCUACUUAAACUGAAAUUUUGUCCAGCUUCUAAGCCUAGUAAUAUUUAGAUGCAUUUUUAUUUUAAAUAUUACUGGACUUAAAAUUACUUAUAAUACGGUCGAAUAUAAUAAAUAAAGUUCACCAAACCUAUUAUAUCUACUAUUUGUUACCGAUAAUACAUACCAUAAUAUAUAUAAAUAUAUACCAUAUAUAAUAAUAUAUAUAUACUUACAUUUUAUGUUAUAUAACUUACUAUUAAAUAUCUUCUUAUUAUGAUAGUAUAUUAAUUUUUUGUAUAACUAAUACAAUCCUGUACUUCCAUGUAAAGCUUUUUCUCUCUCUAAUAAAAAUAUGAUUUAGCAAAUAAGAUAUAGAAAAUUUCUCAAAUCUCUUGCUUCAUGUAUCAGAGACCUUCUAGGGUUUACUCUUUCGACGACUUUUUUUUGUUCAUGACUCCUCAAAGGUAAAUUGUUAACGUUUGCCAGAUCAGCACCACGUCCGAGGACGACACCAUGCCAUUGUCAAAGGGUUAAUUAGGCUGCGAUCAGUCAUCAUUCACGUCUGUGUGGUGCCCAUCCGUAUCUCGACGUACGUUUACCAAAGUGUCUAAGAGCUCUAGCAAGGCCGAGCUUCCUUUCAGAUUUGUCCAUUCUAAAUUCUUUUCUCUUUAUUUAUAAGUAUGAUCAUACUUCUUAGCCAAUCGAAUUUCCACAACUAAUGUCAAAUUAUCUAGUUCAUAUUUACCGGCGAGUGUCGGUGUCGUAAAACUUUUACUUGAUCCCUAGACUUAACAGAUCACUAUUAAUGACAUCUAGCGACCUCCCAUGCUGAGAGAAGAAACUCCAAAAGAUGAAUAAUGCGACAUAUGACGUAACUCAGUGAAUUAUAUCCACGAUCUUGGAAAUUGAAACAUCAGAAAUGCAGGUGGUGAUUUUCACUACAUGCUUCAGCAAAUGUGCUCAUCUUCAAAAACUAAUAUAGCAAUCAGCUGCUCAAUCAUAUACUGGAAUUCCAAAGAUCACAAUCGCCCCAUCAAGGUAAUCUGCUCCAUUCAGGAGUUCAUACUUUAGCAGCCACGGUGGUCGCGCAACUAUCCAUCAUGACGAAUCAAUAUCCAACAUUGUUUGUCUUGCCUUGUGCUACCAAACAACGUUAAAUUCGUGAUCAACAGCCCGCGUUUUUCAUUAUUAGCGUCACGCUAGAAUUCCGAGCCUACUAGCCAAACUCUAUCAUCGAAAUCUCCGCUACCGGUCUACCCAUGAUAGCUCACUUGCAGAGCUUAUUGCAGGAGAAUACUUGUUCUUCGACGUAUUGCGUCUCCUCCAGACUUCAACAUCCGACUGAUUUGCUGCCCCAAUCAAAGUUCCUCACUGUUCCGUUUGUUUCGUCAUCUGAGGGCCUUUGAGUUCUACUCGAAGUCUGUUGUACUACCUCGAAAUGACACAAACGCACCUAUCCAACUGCAAAUAUGCCAACUGUUGGGGCAUCAUAAAUUCCAACAUUGUAGAAAAAGAAGUGGCUGAUCAACAUUGACAUUCUUCUAGAUCACGUGGUUAUCCUGCUACUGCUUUUAACUUAUCAGAUCGAGCAUCCUUUUCAAUACUUCUUCUAACAACAUAGGACACCACACUCGCUUCCUACUCAUCUCACUUGUCCUCGCAACUAAUGCAUCUACUCCAAUAAGCAAUCUGAAAUAACUCGACUGCAAAAGACCAGAAUCCACUCUAAAGACAUGCAUCAGCCACCAUAGUUUUGGUUCCCUUUCAACACCAUAGUUUGGAGUAAUUCAUAAGAAUUCCUGUUCUACGCCGACUCAGGUGCUUCUUUCAUACGUACUUCCCAACAUGAUCAUUUACUUUCCUUCACACUUCCCUAUUGUCUUUUCCGCUCAAUAUUUUACUCUGAUGUACAAUCAGUCGCCCACUUCUUGUUACUCAUUAAUGGUAUAUUAUCACCUACCCAUUAGUAAUCUGCCAAAUUUUAUGUAACCUCUGAUUUUACACAUACAAAAACUCUCUUUAAAAUCUUUUUCUUUAUAGCGCAAAAUUACUGAUCAUCGAUUGUAUAGUACAUUUGACCCUCUUCUUGUCGUGUCAGUAUCGCAACAGGACUUUGAUUGACCAGGCCCAUAGCGGGAUUGCCUGUAUCUACAUGGAUCAUCUGCAUCUACCAUCACAACCAUUAACUCUAAACCACCGACACCCAACCUAUCUCUAAGCACUACUUAUGGGCAUCGCGCUAGUCACCUUUCUCGACACAUGCUUAAUGUUUUAUUUCGUCGGGUGUAAUUCAAGCAAAUUUUUCGUGUUUCCAAUAAUCUUUAAGUUGUAUGGUUGCAAACUGCUAACAUCAUGCACUCAACCUUUCUGCUAGUAACUCUAUCUCUCAUGCGCUUUGAAUUUAAUCAUUCUGAUUGUUUGGGGUUCCUGCUCGCGAAUUUCUACCACAGUAUUUAAUGCGAUACUGAUGUGAUCUUUGGGAUGACUAUUCUCGUAUACCUGGAAUAUUUCAUGAACAACCUGGUGCGAAUCUAAUUUCUCAAAUAAUAAAAAUUAUAUUUACUGAUUCAAAAUCCAAUUGGCACAAAUAUUAAACAUUUUUUGUUCAGCACCUCAUGGGCGUGAAUAUACUCUUCAAUGAAUUCCAACAAAUUCUUAGCAAUCAAGCACUGACCUCAGCUUUUGUCCAUAGCCAUCCAUCAAACAUGGGGUUCUAUAAAAAAGCAUCGUCAAUCAUUGGAUACGCCGUCUCAGAAUUCUUUUGAUAGUUUCCUGUCCUUCUACAUUUGGCUGAUCGCGUCAUAUAAAACAUCGUGUUUACUUUCGAUCACAUAUGACCUUCUAGUGUCCUUUAGAUGUCUUCCUAGUGCGAGCUGUUUGCCAAGCCUGCCUUCAUAUAUCACCUGCGAGUCCUCGUUGACACUGUCUUAGUUUUGCUAUCUCAUCCCUUCACGCACAGAAAUAAAUUGUCCUCCUAUAAUACUGCUAUUGUAUCUUUCUAAAAGGGUAUAGUCUACAUAAAGGGUAAUCGUGCUUAUAUGAUCCUAACCACACGAGCAUGUUCUUCGAUUUCUCGGUAUAGAUUUUCUUUGAGGCAUGCUUCCCUAUUAAUGCCCAACUCGCACCAUGCGCGCCACUGCACUCUUCAUCGCUCCUAUGAUCUUCCUUUUUACAAUGAUCAUUUUCCAGGCUAAUUCCUCUUUCCGUGAGACCUCUUAUCUUCUCCAUAAUACCUCUUCCUGCAGAUGAAAAGUGAAUUAAUGCCUCUCAUGACGUCCUUCUUCGAAGUUACCAAACGACGAUCGCUGGCGACAUUCGCGUCUGUCGAAUAGUCCCCUUCGAGAGCCCGGCAAGCUCAAAAGUUCUCUGGUUGUGUUACCGUCACAAUUCUUUUUCUCCCCAUUUCCAUUCUUUCUUGCUACCAUCCAUACUCACCAUGAACCUACGGAACAUACCGCCUAAAGUCUUGCGGCCAUUCCUGAGGCAAGAUGCAUUCUGACGAACUAACUCUCUACACUAAAAAAUCAGUACUUCUAGACGCACUGUUCAUCUCCCCAGGAAAUGCUUCCAUAUCAAUGCACAUAUGGACUCUACAAAGUAAAGAUACAAAGUCUGAUGGUUGCUAUUGAUCGUACUAUAAGGCAGGUCUCGCUUGUUGCUCGCCGCUUUACUCAAGAGUAGUCAUCGAUUACAGAGACAUUUGCUCCGGUUGCUAAAAUGACCGUCCGUUCGCGGUUCUUAUUGUUGUCUGGCCUCUCGGUUGGCCGUUUAUAUCUUAACUUGAGUAAGAAAAUGCUUUUAAUAUGGAUCUUCAACAAGAUACGUUUACAUGCAGCCACCUCCUGGCCUAAUCAUCUUCGCAUGAUCACUGUCUGCUUACUUCAACAAGGCGUUGUAUGUCCUUAAAACAAGCUCCUCUGCUUGUUUGAAAUAUUCUCGACUGGCCGCUUGCUCACUUGUUUUCGUUUAGAGUGAAAAUACCAUGCAUUAUCAUAUCACUCUUCUGCCGUCGGCACUACUCGUUUAGCUUCUCUAUAGGUGAUGAUUAUGAUAUCAACUGUGAUGAUCCAACCUUUUAUACAUUUAUCAAACCUCUUCAACGCUCAACUUUGAAAAAUGAGAUCUCGGGCUCUCUCCGUUAUUUUCUAGUAUUGAAGUAGCCUACCUACGGUUCUAGAAGGUAUUUGUUAUCUCAAAGAAUACACAAACGGAUCUCAUCUCUUCGUGCUGGUCUUACUGACAUCGACACAGUCCAAUACUCCUAUGCACACUUCACAUAAACUGACCACGCAUACCAUGGGUUGAGCCACUUUCACAGUCCCUACAGCGCUACUCAGAAAUUUAGUUGAGCUCUUAUUCAUCUCACUAUCUCUCAGUUCCAGAUUCGGCUUAUCUUGUUCCAACAUAGAAGCCCCAAUUUGUUCAAGAACCAACUCUGUUACUAUCUGUUGUCUUCGCCAAUCUCCGGCUAUUCUUCGUGCACUAUAUAACCAGAGUCUUUUCUUUUCUUCUAACUUUCCGGGAAAAAAACUGCACUCCGAGCCUAUUCGACGCUUGAUUGGCCUGGGACCCAUAACUGACGUCCGAUUCCACUUCACGGGUUAUUGCAUCUUCUUGAUGAUUCCUUAUUUCUGGCUGAGCUAAGAACAGAAUAUUGUCUCCAAAUCUAGUACCGAAGCUGAGUAUCCUGCAUAUGUCGGCACACGCAUCUGAGAUUUAGGUCUUCGUCGUCUCUGGUGAUAUGCUAUUACUUGCUCUAACUUCGACACCCGUAUGUAUUUGUAUCAAUCAAAAGUGCCAUCAAGAUGCUAAUAAUCCGGAUUUUCAUGAAAACGCAACAACACAUUUGAAAUUGAUUGCGACCACUUACAUUCGGCACUCAAUUUUCUAAUCGGCACACUGCCUAGUUACCGGUUUCAUAUCUCUCCGUCUUCAGCUGCACGACUUCUUCACAAAGUCCAAUAUCGACCAUACUUUUACGCAUCAUUUUCUUUUAUCAAACUCUUGGUUUUAACCCAACCAUUAUUUGUGAGGGUGUUAGCAAUAUAUAUUACCAGUACCAAUAUAUAUAUUAUAUAUGUUACCAUAUAUACAUAUAAUAUAUAAUAUAUAUAUUACCAUUUAUUUGAAUAUUACUACCUAUGUUGAAUAAUUAUUUCUUAUUAGAUAGUAUAUUAUUUUCUUGUAUCACAGGAUUAACAAUCCUGUACUCUUCAAUGUAAAGCUUUUUCGCUCUCUACCUAUAUAAAGAAUAGGAUUUAGAUGAAUUAAAGAUAUAGACAAAUUUCAUCAAUCUCUUGUUCACUAGUGAAUCGAGCCUGCGUUGCGGCCCGGGAUAAUUUCGUAAAUAAAAUAAAAAAUAAAGCGCAGUAAAAAAGAAAGAGCCAAUAAAUUAGAUAUAUUAAAAAAGUGAAGAUAUAACAACUAUUUCCUGUAAUAAAAAUAUAAAAUAAAUAUUAUAAAAAUCUAAAAAAAAUUAGGUGCAAAAAACAAAUACAUAAUUUAUUAUUUCUGACUUAUUAAAAAAUAUGCUUGAUUAUAAAAGAAAAUAAUUUUAUAUUUAUUUGUUAUUUUUAACUAUUAAAAAAAGAAUUGAUCAAUGCAAAUAGAAAUUUAACCACUUGAUUAGGGUAAAAAAAUAAAAAUAAAAAGAAAAGAUUUAAGAAAAUAAGAAAAAAAUAUAAUAAAAGAGUGAGAGAAGAGUGUGAGAGUGUUGAGUCCAGAAAAUAAAAAAGAAAAUAACGAAAAAAAUAAGAGAGUAAGAGAAAAAAACCACCCCCCUCUCCCCCCAAAACGCGAGUCGGCGUGCGGCUCGAAGAGACUCCUCAAUUAGCUCAUCCUUCACGUAUUUACUACGAAAUACCGCGCGCGAUCAUAUUUGGCGAUGAUAAAAAUAUUUUCAAUAAAUUUUAUUUUUAUAUAUUAAAUAAUUUUAUAAGUCAAUUAAAUUAAAUUAAAAUUAUUAUAAAAAUUAAUAAUAGUUAAUUUUAUUUAUAAAAUUUAUUAAAACGACAAUUAUUUUAUUAAAGAUUAGUAAAAAAAAGAUUGAGUAAAUAAUCAAAAUAAUUUAAAAAAAAUAAAUAGAAGAAAUAAAAAUAAGAAAGGAAAAUUUGUUUUAAUAAAUUUAUAUUUUACUAUAUAUACACACCACCACAUAAUUUAUUUAAAAUCUUACUCCUCAAAAAUUUACAAUAUAUGAUUAUUGUAUACAUCGAUUCAAAAUAAUUUUGAUGACUGUAUUUAUUACCGGUAUUACUGAUAAUUUUAAUUAAUUAAUUAUAGACAACCAUAAUUAUAUAAUAUUUGAAAACCCAAUUUUAUAUAUAUAUAUAUAAUAAUAUAUAAAUAUAUAUAUAUAGUAUAUACUGCCAUGGCUACGAUACAGUUAUGAGUAUUGAGCCCAUCCGUACUCAUAAGUUGGUUUCCAUGAUGGAGCAUUCCGAAUCGACGAUCCCACUCCGUUAAAUUCAUUUAGAGUAUUUAAAAAUUCUAGAAAAAAAUUUCGUAAAUUAUUUCCGAAAUCAUAAAUAACUCCAUCCAAGGUGACCAUAUAUAGGCCAUGACUACUCAUCACCUAUUGAGUGAGUAGUCUGGAAGCCCCUGCGACUCCAUAAGUUGUUUUUAAUGAUGCGAUAAGUCUUGCCGAAAUCGACGAUCCAACCCGUAAAUAAUCACCUUAGAAUAUUUGAAACUCCUAGAAAAUAAAUUUCGUAAUUUUCGAAAUCAUAAAUUAGAUCCAUCAAAGAUGGCAUAAUAAUUAGAACGCUCAAAAUCGAUAAGACGUCCUACACCAAAAAAGGAUGAUUGAUUCUUCAAUUCAAGAUCGGAGUUAGAAUCUGUAUCUAUGUAGUGAACCAGAAUUUGCUAUCAAAAAUUCCAACAAAUUCCCCCCGAUUCUACACUGUUAAAAACUAGCAAGUAAUGCGCCAUACCGGGCCGUUAAACGAAUUGCAAAUUGUGACCAUAUCGCUACGGUACAAUGAUCGUCGAAAAAUUUAUAAAAUUGAUUUCUAGAAUCUUAAAUACUACCGUACACUUAACGGUGGGAUGCGAGUCAUCGGAAGCUCUAUCAUCGAAAACAACUUAAUGAGUACGAGGGCGAUCGACUCAACAAAGUAAGUCCCCCGACGCAUAUAUAUAAAUAUUAUACUGAGAGGGGAGGGUAGGGGACACGGUGCACCGCAAGACCCCCCAAACAUACUUAAUGUAGCCAGAAUAGAAAAUUAUACAUAAGAGGUAAGUUAAACAACACAAGAGAUAAAUUAAAAAUUAGAUAUAGAGUAAAUUUCUCAACACAAAUUGUCACGCCACCGAAAGCUCCACCCAAAUUCUAGUCGUUCAGUACGUCGACUACAGACCAGCAGAACGAACAGAGCAUUCCACUGUCCGCCCCAAGCUAGACAACAACAAAAUCAUUUGUAUCUGUAAACAAUUUCCCAAAAACAUUAACCUCAUACAUGACUUGGGCAAGGUACUAAUAACAAGCAAUCAACAAAAAAAAAGAUCUAAUAUACAAUUCUAUCAAUAUAUACAUCAAGUUUAUAUUUUUUAUUUCCAAAAUGUAGUAUCUGUCCAUCUCAAAAACAAAAUACGCUCUUCCAAUAUAUUAGCAUACAUGAGCUGUCACUCAGUGUACAACGAGGUAACUUAAUGCUAAAGGAAAGCUGCUAGCUGCUCGCAGGCGGCGCUAUGCCCUUAUUCGCGCAGGUCCUCGCUGUCGUCCGGUCCCUCGCUGACGUCGGCCCUAGCAAUAUCAUGUGGGAUUAAACUAAUAAUAGUUCCCAUAGUUUGGCCGGCCGACUCCGCCAAUUAGCUUCUUCACUAGUUCUAAGAGGUAAUACAAUAGUCAGAUAGAAUUAUAUGAAAAUGAGCUGCCUACACUUAACACAACAUGCUACUAUGCCCUCAAUAAGCAGAAAUGCAAUGCAUAGCACAUAGUAAGAAAAUAUUCCGUACAUAGCAAUGAAAACCUACUAUCAAGUACUAUGUCUCAUAUCCAAUCUCAACGUCGGCAACACAGAAGGUUACGCCCCAAACUAUCGGCACAUCCAAAAAUCUCGCCGCGUGGCUAAACUCUGCCUAACAGCAACACUCGAGACCGCGCGCCAGGCCUGCGAGGUAUCAAAGUUACUCAAUAACGCACAAUCUACCCGGAGCUCACUAAAUGUGGUGGAGCGACCCACGCCAAAGGUUUAAACAAUAUUGAGUAUAGAAAUCAAUCCCUCAACUUGAGAUAGCUAGUCGCCCUCUGCUGGCAUUAGUUUCACCAUCCCACUAUUUCAGGAAAUUUAACCUUCUAUUUCCUAAUUCAUGUUAUCAAGUCUGUAACUGUUCCAACCUACACUAAGUUACAUGCCACUACUCAGUAAUCAUCUCUAUUCUAAUCAUAUCAUAGUGUUUUCCUACUAACACUAAGUACAAUAGCCACCUGCUUUUAGUCAUUUCACUUUCGUCAAGGUUCAAAUCUUUGUUGCUUGGCACUAUAUGCAAAUUCCAAUGGUCAAUAUCCAAUCCCAAUGCGGUCCACUUAAAUCAAGUCUCAACGCACUAUAGGUUAUCUAUAUAGAAAACAUAUCAAGCGAAUUGAAGUACAAUUACUUAACAUAACCAAAUAAUCCAUGAUAACCAAUUAUAUGAACAUAUCUAUAAUCAAACACACAUUCGGACAUAGGCAGAAGUCAAGGCUGCUUCGGAUGGACACCCCGGGGUGCCCUGUCAGGUUCCAGUAACUGUGUUUAUUCUGAUCUCUUUGGUGGAGUGUAUACGCUGUGUGAUUAUUCUUAAUGUGAAUUUUGGUUGAUUUUAUGCUUAAUACUUAGAAUGUCUUCUCAGAGAUUGUAAAUUUUUUGCUGUCUUAGGAUGUCUGCACUGAUUGAUUUAUUUGCUAUGACUCUAGGUUUAGGUGCGCGAAGGUUGGUUUGCGUGCGGGUGUUGGUUUGAGUGUAGUGUUGUGUGAUUGGUGGUGAAUUUUGGGUAAGUGAUGUUUGUGUAGUUGGGCCUUCAUGCUGAUUAAUGAUGUAGGAUAGACAGUUUUUGAGUAGUGCGAUGUUGAUAUGCGAGAAGGUAUUUUUAGUGAGAGGAUUGGGAUCCAUUAAUAAUUGUUUUACUGGCCGUGGUCGCCCUGAUUUCGAGUGGUGACUGUGACGGUUUGGCUCUGGCCUACGGCUGGGCAGGGGUAUCCGAGUGUGUGUAGCGAGUUUUACUGCGGGAUUUUGAGAUUGUGAGUUUGCGUACUUUCCUGGUCUAGGAGCUGUAAGAUUGGAUUAAUGACGCCAUAGUCUUGAUUAGUAAGGUUUUUGGCCUAUGUUUAGCAGUAGUUUUCAUCUCUGUGUGGGGUGAUUCUGGUCUGGUUUUAAGUUGGAGGCUAAGUAGCAUGUUCGUGUUAUGUGAGUAUUUUCUUAUUCAGUUUUUAAUAUUUAGACGUCUCGUGGGAGCGAAGCUGUGGGGAGGUCGGGAUAAAUUCGGGAUAUUAUGUUUAUUGCCUGAUUAUUGCGGGGGUGGAGCGGACUGGGUAAGACGCCGAUAGGCACUCAGGGUGAUAGGUAGAGUUUGUUAGGCAUUAAAGUCUGGUGUAAUGAAGUGCAACAGCAUGCAUGGUUAUAUGGAAUGAGUUUUUGUAUUUGAGAUGGAACAGAUAUAGUUGUUUGGACAUAAUUACUUCGAUGUAAUAUGUAUUGAAUAGAUUGUUUAAUAGCUUGCAUCCUUCUUUUUUUGGUGUGUGUUGCUUGUAAUUAGUACUUGCAGUUCCCGUAUGACAGGGUUUGUGUCUCUUGGCGGAUGUGUUUCAGUACAUGGACGUCUUUGUUGAUUGGUUAGGUGUGACUGGGCGGACCAGGGAAGUCUGUUCGUAUCUGUCUGAAUCUGACGUAGAUGACAGUAGCUUGGGUGGUCUCGGCGCUGUCGUGUACGCGUUAUUGUUGUUUUGAGGAAUAUUAUCUGUUAUUUUAUUAUUUAAUUCCUUUUUUGUGUUAACGUUGUUUUCGCUGAAUAAUCUGCUUUAAUUUCAUGUUUUCAUUCUGUAACAUUAAAGGUAGCUUGUUUGGGGGUAAANNNNNNNNNNNNNNNNNNNNNNNNNUAUAUAUAUAUAUAUAUAUAUAUAUAUAUAUAUAUAUAUAUAUAUAUAUAUAUAGCAGGUCUUGUGUGUUAUUAGGAGCAUAGAGGCCUCCGUGCUUCUAAGUCAUUUUCGAUGAUGGAGCUUCUUAAUCGACGAUCGGUUCCGUUAGACUUGAUCUAACAUAUUUGAAGUAUUUAGAAAAUAAAUUUUGUUAUUUUUCGAUAUCAUUUACCUAACGAUCAAAAGAGCUCAAAAUCAACGGCUGAAAAUAAAAAUAUCACAAAAAGUGGUAAUAUAGCAUUAAAAUUUUCGAUCAAACAUAUUGAUCUUGCUGUAAAUAGUAUAAAAAAUUUCUAUCAAAAUUUCAUCUGAUUUGAAUACUUCUACACCGUUAAACUUGCAAACGGCAUACAUCAACCAUUAAAAAUUGUUGAUUUUGAACCCUUUCAAUUGCUAGGAAAAUGAUACCGAAAAAUCACAAAAAUUAAUUUCUAGAUAGUUCAAAUACGCUACAUCAAGUCUAACGGAGCCGAUCGUCGAUUCGGAAACUCUAUCAUCGAAAAUGACUUAGGAGCACGGAGGCCUCCAUGCUGUUAAUAGCACACGAGACCUACUAUAUAUAUUUAUAUAGAGAGAGAGAGAGAGAGAGUAGGGCUACUAUACUCUUAUGAGUAGUGGGCCCUUAGUACUCAUAAGUUGUUUUCGAUGAUGGAGCUUCCGAAUCGACGAUCCACUCCGUUAAAUAUGAUCUAGAGUAUUUGAAACUUCUAGAAAAUAAAUUUUGUAACUUUUCGAAAUCAUAAUAAAGUCCAUCAAGCAGGCAUAAAAUGAACGGUCAAAAUCGAACGACACCCUAAAAAUAAAUGAUCAAAUCCUUCAAUUUAAGAUCGGAGUUAUUGAUCUUUAUCUAGGUAGUGAAUAGAAUUUUCUAUCAAAAAUUCAACGUAUUCCGAUUCUUUUCUACCGUUAAACUAGCAAGUAUCUCAUACCAGCUGUUAAAAAUUGUCAAUUUUGUGAGCUUUUGAUCGUAAGGUAAAUGAUGUCAAAAAAUUAUGAAAUUUGAUUUCUAGAAGUUUUAAAUGCUCUAAAUAACGUUUAACGGUGUGGAUCAUCGAUUCGGAAGCUCUAUCAUCGAAAACAACUUCUGAGUAGGAGGGCGAUCGUACUCAUAAGAGUAUAGUAGUCGAACUCAGAGAGAGUAUAUAUAUAUAAUAUUAUAUAUACUAUUUAUAUAUAGAGAAGAGGAGAGAGAUAGAGAGAGAGGAGAGCGAGGAGGAUAGAGAGAGUCCGACUACUAUAUGUUUUUAUGAGUAUAAGCUUCUUAUACUCAUCAAGUGUUUUUAAUGCCAUUGGAUGAAGAUAUGUACGGUUAGGUGAUAUGAGUCCCCUAGUGUGAAUAUAUAUAUAUAUAUAUAUAUUAUAUAUAUGAGAGAGAGAGGAAGGAGAGAGGAUAGGGAGAGGAGAUGAGAGAGAGAGAGAGAGAGAGAGCCUAGGCACUAUACUCGUUAUGAGUAUAGUCCCCUUUAUAUUCCAUCUAGAGUUUUCGACCGUUUUAAAAGAAAGGGAUUGGCGUUAGAGGAUGAUAGCGGUCCCCAGUAUUAGUUACAUAAUGUCCCCUAGGAUUGAGUGGAUGGUUGUGUUGACAUAGUAUAAUCUUAACGGAGAAAAUGAAAUUGAUCAAGGGGCUAGAUUAACAAUCAGGAAAAUUUAUAUGUAGAAUAAUGGGUUCUAAUACUCAUAAGAGUUAUAGUAGGCCGACUAAAUGCUAAACGUAAAACAUAAUUGUCUGAUUACUGAUACAUCGAAAAGCGUAGUGUUUAAAGGCUUAUGAAUAUAAUGUUUGUAAUAGCAUAGUUUGCACUUUGAUAUUUUAGAUACAUAUCAAUCUGCAUACUUGCUACAUUCCUGUUUGGAAGCCUCUCUGUAUUGGCAUAUGUUUAGAUUGUUGAGGCCGUAGAACGUUACAGGAGAGGCUCGUGGUCCAUCUUCGGCCUGGUCUGUCCGACGAGCCCGAAUCGACCAAAUAGGCGGAGACUCGGGCGCUGACAGAAUAUAUAUAUACUAUAGAUAGUAUAUAUAGUACAAUGAAAUUUACGUUGACGAAUUCCUUUAUAAAUAGGAUUCAGCCCAAUUCCAUUCAUUCCAAAUAAAAGAAUUCCAACUAGCUAGAUUUCAGUUCACCUGAACUCACGGAGUCACGGGACUCCAAAUUAGUACAAUUUUGUCGCAGUUUUAAACGAAGGAGAUCGAAUUAAGUUAAAAAGUAAGAUGAAAUAUAGAUGUGCAGAAUUAGGAUGCAGUCAGUAAUUUUAACUCUAAGAUAAGUACGAACACACCAAUUAUGCCUAACAUUAAGUUCAGAGUCUUAAAUAAUCAAAUAUCAAACUUUAAAAAGAGUUUAAGGACCAAAAUAAAAAGUUGGCUAAAAGUUGAGGGUACACCAAUUAAAUUUAACCAAUCAAUAUCAAUAUGAAAUGCUAGAGCCACAUUUAUAUAUAUAUAUAUAGAUCUAACUCCACUGGUGAUUAAAGGUGACGUGAGAGAAAAGCAAAAGCUGCGACAUCCACGUGGUUAAUAUACUACUUGUCUAUUUGGUCCCACAUGAUUAAUAUAUCAAUUUCCUUCCACUUCGGCACCCAAAAAAAAAAAAAAAAAAAAAAAAACCAUUAGAAUAAAACUGUGAAAAAAUUAUUAAAGAUUUCUGAAGUUUAACUAAUAUUAAAAAAUUAUCAAAUUUUGUUCCGAAGAAGUUUAAAUAAUCUAAAUAAAAUUUAAUAAUAUUGGCCGUUCAUUUGAAUAUAUCUCAUCAUCAAAAAAUGACAUAAAAGUAAUUAAACAUCUCCAUUUACCUCUGUAAGCAUUCUAACUUUACUCUUUAUAUCUUACACCAUUAAAUCUAAAGAUUUAUAAAAUUCUAUCGAAUUUUUAGUACAAUAAUAAUAAUAAUAAUAAUAGUGAGUUAAUUUUAAUUAAACAUAUAAAAGCUACGUAAGAUGU
rnacentral:lncRNA from 1 species